rnacentral:tRNA from 1 species
GAGGGUAACAGCUCAGUGAUAGAGCACAUGCUUAGCAUGCACAAGGUCCUGGGUUCUAAUCCCAGGUAACUUCA